ACGAACGCUGGCGGCGUGCCUAAUACAUGCAAGUCGAGCGGACUGAUUAAGAGCUUGCUCUUAUGACGUUAGCGGCGGACGGGUGAGUAACACGUGGGCAACCUGCCCUGUAGAUCGGGAUAACACCGAGAAAUCGGUGCUAAUACCGGGUAAUAUCUGAGAUCACAUGAUCUUAGGUUAAAAGAUGGCUCCGGCUAUCACUACAGGAUGGGCCCGCGGCGCAUUAGCUAGUUGGUAAGGUAAUGGCUUACCAAGGCGACGAUGCGUAGCCGACCUGAGAGGGUGAUCGGCCACACGGGGACUGAGACACGGCCCAGACUCCGACGGGAGGCAGCAGUAGGGAAUCUUCCGCAAUGGACGAAAGUCUGACGGAGCAACGCCGCGUGAGUGAUGAAGGGUUGCGGCUCGUAAAGCUCUGUUGUUAGGGAAGAAACAGUACCGAACGAACUAGGUCGGUACCUUGACGGUACCUAACCAGAAAGCCACGGCUAACUACGUG
rnacentral:rRNA from 1 species